GUGCUCACUUUGGCAGCACAUACACUAAGAUUGGAACAAAACAGGGAUUAGCAUGGCCCCUGCAGAAGGGCGACAUGCAAAUUCGUGAAGUAUUCCACAUUUUU
ensembl:snRNA U6 U6 spliceosomal RNA